GGGAUUGUAUUUGCUUGUGUGUCUGUUUCAUUCAGAUGGAGAGGGGAGUCCUGAGAGGGACUGAAGGGAAGCCAGACAACAAAGCUGAUCUAAAUAACCCUGGUUUAUUUUGCAGGCAUCUAGCCAGGCCCUGUUUGGGACAGACCUGGACUCAGACGGGGCCCCCAGUCUGAGCAACGAGGUGACCUCUGACCUCCAGGCCCACUCCGCAGACUGCACCUCUCCGUCCUACAGCAAUAUGGAGGAGGUGGACUAGCGGCGGGGCCAGGGGCAGAGGGGCGGAGCCUGAAAGAUCUAGAAGGUUCUGGAAGAGUCCCAGCCAGCGUGGAUGUUGGAGCAGCAACGCGUGGCCUCUCUAUCUGCUGCUCAUCUGCUGGAGAGACACUGCAGGGCUCACUAACUACCUGGACAUCCAUAGUGUCCCUCUCCCCCAUCUGCUGGAGAGACACUGCAGGGCUCACUAACUACCUGGACAUCCAUAGUGUCCCUCUCCCCCCCACACACACACACACCCUCCAGCCCAGGAGUGCAGGGCUGGGGGGCAGGCCCUGCUGGGGGGCAGGCCCUGCUGGGGGGCAGGGUUCCCUGGAGCCCCCCCUUAAGUGUUUAUAGUUAUGCUCACUCAUCCUGUAUAGUUCUGUUUCUGCAGUGUACACACACACACACACACUGGUGUGUUCUCAUAGCCCCCAGGUGGUUAUAGAGGACGCAACACAGAUCUGGAUCUGUCGUUAGUUGGUAACUGAACCUUUUUGUUUUAACUCCCCCUCCGGAACACUGCUAAUCCUUCACUUGGCCAUGCAUCCCAUAAUAGUCAUCCUCGGUGCUCCCAUGGAAACCAACAGCAGCUCCUUGUCUUAACAAGCUGCAGCAGUUCUGAGGGAAGAAGACUCGUCAUUGAGGUGUGGGGAAGAGCUCGAGUGGGUUUCUGUAUUCACUUUCUACUUGCCUGGCCUCAGGGCAGCAGGUGUGGUGCUCCACCUGGAUAGAGAGGGCAGCAGGUGUGGUGCUCCACCUGGAUAGAGAGGGCAGCAGGUGUGGUGUGGAGCGAAGCUGCUGCCCCCGAAUGCAGCUCAGAGGACGUGGCCCCGCCCCCAGGCUCCGCGCCCUGGCCCCGCCCCUGCCCUGUGGCCCCUAACCCUGUCAGGCUGUUCCAGCGUGCUGAUGUACGGGUCUUCCUGUUUGUGUCCUAUUGGUGUUUUGGGGGGUUGUUUUCUUUAGCUUGUGGUGCCCUUGAUCCUGUGGAUACAUUUAGUUUGUUUUGUUCAAGCGAGAGCACAGCUUGGUUGUGUACACUGUAAGGUGCAUGGUUGCAUGAGGGCACUCCCUGGUCCCAGGGCUAGACUGCUGUUACUCCCCAUUCUGCUACUUUUUGUUGUUGUUUUUGGAUUGAAUCUGUUUGUGCACAGUCUUGUACACCCGCUCCCUCUAUUCCUGUGUUUUCCUUUUGGGCUAAAAAUAAACAUUGGGGGACAUGCAGAAUGCUUCUGUGAAUAUGAUAUAAAUGGUUAAUAUAAAUAAAACCUUUUUGAGAAGCUA